rnacentral:rRNA from 1 species
AGAGCGAACGCUGGCGGCAUGCUUAACACAUGCAAGUCGCACGGGCAGGGGAAACCCUGUCAGUGGCGGACGGGUGAGUAACGCGUAGGUAUCUAUCCUUGGGUGGGGGACAACCGUGGGAAACUACGGCUAAUACCGCAUGAUGACUGAGGUCCAAAGCUUGUGAGAGCGCCUGGGGCGGAGCCUGCGUACGAUUAGCUAGUUGGUGGGGUAAAGGCCUACCAAGGCUGCGAUCGUUAGCUGGUCUGAGAGGAUGAUCAGCCACAUUGGGACUGAGACACGGCCCAAACUCCUACGGGAGGCAGCAGUGGGGAAUAUUGGACAAUGGGCGCAAGCCUGAUCCAGCAAUGCCGCGUGUGUGAAGAAGGUCUUCGGAUUGUAAAGCACUUUCGACGGGGACGAUGAUGACGGUACCCGUAGAAGAGCCCCGGCUAACUUCGUGCCAGCAGCCGC